GCAUUAAUGGUUCAGUGGUAGAAUCCUUGCCUCCCACGCGAGAGACCCGGGUCCGAUUCUUGGCCAAUGCA
rfam:Danio rerio chromosome 4, GRCz11 reference primary assembly.